ensembl:lncRNA
CCCCCUCUCUCCCUGGCCUGUCUCCCCCUGUCUGGUACAGGUACCUCCACCACAUUCACCCCUCUCUCCCUGGCCUGUCUCCCCCUGUCUGGUACAGGUACCCCCACCACACUCACCCCUCUCUCCCUGGUCUGUCUCCCCCUGUCUGGUACAGGUACCUCCACCACACUCCCCCUCUCUCCCUGGCCUGUCUCCCCCUGUCUGGUACAGGUACCUCCACCACACUCACCCCUCUCUCCCUGGUCUGUCUCCCCCUGUCUGGUACAGGUACCUCCACCACACUCACCCUCUCUCUGUUCACCGUCUGCCGUGGCCUCUCUCCCCCUGUCUGGUACAGGUACCCCACCUCACUCCCCUCUCUCUCCUGAG